UACAGAGGGUGCGAGCGUUGUUCGGAAUUAUUGGGCGUAAAGCGCGCGCAGGCGGCCCGCGAGGUGUCACGUGAAAGCCCCGGGCUCAACCCGGGAGGGUCGUGGCAAACCGGCGGGCUUGAGGCCGGUAGAGGUGGGUGGAACUCCUGGUGGAGUGGUGAAAUGCGUAGAGAUCAGGAAGAACACCCGUGGCGAAGGCGGCCCACUGGGCCGGUACUGACGCUGAGGCGCGAAGGCGUGGGGAGCGAACGGG
rnacentral:rRNA from 1 species